CCAAAUCCCAGCCAAUUAACCUAUGCUGAACUAUAAUCUCUGUCUCUUUGACUUCGUAAUGCUACCAUGAUUUGCUUUGGUUCCCCAUCCUGGAUUGUUGUGUCUUCUAGUUGUCAUAACAGGAAGCCAUAUCUGAUUCACUUACCACCUCAUGGCCAGAAGUAGAUGUUCUCUUUAAUUUUAAAAAUGUUGUCCAAAUUUUAAGUUAAGUAAACAUAAAUUUUGCAGAAUAUUUAAUGACUCAUAUUUUGUAAUAUUCUCUUUUGGGAAUGCAUAAACAACCACAUGGGA
rnacentral:lncRNA from 1 species